UUUCUGUAUUGUGUGUAUGUGUGUAGUUAACAGUGUUAACACCUGUGUUUCAGGUGUAUCAGUAUGAAGCAGGCGGUGACGGCGCACUGAUUCACUCUCGGAGCUCGGUUCACUAAUGACCGAAUCACCGAGGAACCGACCAAAGAUAACUCACACCCGCACGGAGAAGAAGAACAAGAGGAGGAGAAGAUGAGCUGGAGUGGGGCAAAGAGAACUGCAUUCAGAUCAAACGGAUACAAGAGGUGUGUAAUCUCCCUCCAUUUGCAUUCCUCUACUAUAAACAGCUCCAGUCUCUCUUCAGACACUGUGGUUAAAUCAAAUCCAUCUCCUUUGACAGCUCCAG
ensembl:lncRNA